rnacentral:tmRNA from 1 species
GGGGAUGCCGAGAAUUGAUGGACUGUUCAUUCCAUUUCCGCAGACCGAGUGCCGGGAUCACUCGUGAAACCCUCCCGACAAAGACAACUGCCAACGUCUUCAACAAGAUGAAGGAAGCGGUCGCGUCAGCGUUCCGUGCUCCGGCAUCUGCCAUGGCUAUCGCCUAAACGAUACGUCCAUGCCGAUCCGCCGCCAUCCGCCCGAGGAUGCGGCCCAGAUCGUCAUUUUCUCGGGAUUGCUCUCCGGGCGCGUCACCGCGCGGGGAGGACUCGGCUCGUGACAACGGAAUUCCGGUCUUGUCCGUUUUUUACGGAAUUCCGCAAUCCGAACGGACUAUGUCUGUGAACGAGGAAGUGGUCUGACGGGACCAGACGGGGGUGCGACUCCCCCCAUCUCCACCA